ACUACAAAGAUAGGAACCUGCAAGACGAGCAACCUUACCCGAUAAGGUUUAAACUUGCCCGACCUUCUUUGCUUUGUUUUUGUCUUUUCAAUAUGUUGUAUACUUCCAGUUAUAUGCAAGUUAUUUCUAGCAAUAUGACUAUUAAAAGGCUUUCUCAGUACUUGAAUCUGAUUUGAAUAUAUCGUCAGUGUUCAAACCAGAUCCAAGUCCUAAGCCCUCGGG
rnacentral:lncRNA from 1 species